GUAUCAGGGGUAGGGGAGCGUUGAAUGAAGAUUGAAGGUGUACCGCAAGGAGCGCUGGACCUCAUUCAAGUGAGAAUGCCGGUAUGAGUAACGAAAAGAUCAGUGAGAAUCUGAUCCGCCGAAAACCCAAGGAUUCCUGAGGAAGGCUCGUCCUCUCAGGGUAAGUCGGGACCUAAGGCGAGGCCGAAAGGCGUAGUCGACGGACAACAGGUUGAAAUUCCUGUACCACCGAAAGCCGUUAUGAGCAAUGGGAUGACGCAGGAGGAUAGUGACGCGGACUGAUGGAUGUCCGUUCAAGCAGUGAGGCUGGUAUGUAGGCAAAUCCGCAUACCGCAAGGCCAGGCUGUGAUGAGGAGCGAAAAUUGUAGUAGCGAAGGUCAUGAUUUCACACUGCCAAGAAAAGUCUCUAGCCAGGAAGCAGGUGCCCGUACCGUAAACCGACACAGGUGGGUGAGAAGAGAAUUCUAAGGCGCGCGGAAGAACUCUCGUUAAGGAACUCGGCAAAAUGACCCCGUAACUUCGGGAGAAGGGGUGCCCCGGUAGUGUGAAUAGCACGAGGGGGCCGCAGUGAAAAGGCCCAAGCGACUGUUUAGCAAAAACACAGGUCUGUGCGAAGCCGCAAGGCGAAGUAUACGGGCUGACGCCUGCCCGGUGCUGGAAGGUUAAGGGGAGUGGUUAGCGCAAGCGAAGCUAUGAACCGAAGCCCCAGUAAACGGCGGCCGUAACUAUAACGGUCCUAAGGUAGCGAAAUUCCUUGUCAGGUAAAUUCUGACCCGCACGAAUGGCGUAACGAUUUGGGCGCUGUCUCAACGAGAGAUCCGGUGAAAUUUUAAUACCUGUGAAGAUGCAGGUUACCCGCGACAAGACGGAAAGACCCCAUGGAGCUUUACUGCAACUUGAUAUUGAACUGGGGUGCGAUUUGUACAGGAUAGGUGGGAGCCGU
rnacentral:rRNA from 1 species